rnacentral:lncRNA from 1 species
UGGAAUUUAGGCUGCGUUUGGUUCGGGUAUAAGUAAGAACUGCUAGUUCUAGGGAUAUGUACAAAUUCAGGUAUAAGCAGGAACUAGACCAAUUUUGCGUUUGGAUGAAAAUUAGGUUGUUCCUAGGAAUAAGAUAAAUAGUGUUUGGAUGAUUAAAUUGGAACAAGAGGAAUAAACAUUAUAAUUUGAAAUUAAAAUUAUAUUAUGUAAUUAAUUAACAUAAAAAUAUUACGUAAAAAUAAAUAAAAAAUUAAUUAUUAAUAAUUAAUCAUAAAUAAUAAUUAUUAUUAAUAAUUAAUUAUAAAUAAUAAAUUAAUUAUUAAUAACGAUUAUCUAAUUAAUAAUAAUAAUUAUUAUUAAUUAUUAAUAAAUAAUAAUAAUAAUUAAUUAUUCUUAUUAAUUAAUUAUAAAUAAUAAAUUAUUAAUAAUAUUGAUUAUCUAAUUAUUAAUAAUAAUUAAUAUUAAUAUUUAUUAAUAAAUAAUAAUAAUUAUUAUUAAUAAUUAAUUAUAAAUAAUAAAUUAAUAAUAACAUCGAUUAUCUAAUUAUUAAGAAUAAUAAUUAUUAAUUAAUUAUUAAUAAAUAAUAAUAUUAAUUAUUAAUUAUUAAUUAUAAAUAAUAUAUUAAUAAUAAUAUCGAUUAUCAUUAAGAAUAAUAAUUAUUAAUAAUUAUUAAUAAAAAAUUAAUAAAUAUUAUUAAUUAUUAAUAAUUAAUUAUAAAUAAUAAAUUAAUAAUAAUUAUUAUCUAAUUAUUAAUAAGUAAUUAUAAAUAAUAAAUUAUUUAAUUAUUUAAUUAUUAAAAUAAUAAAUAAUAAUUUAAAUAUAUUAAUUAGAUUAAUUAAUAAUUUACUGCCAUUAAAAUUAAAUUUAGAUUUUAAUUAAUCUUGUUCUCAUCAAGGAACAAGCUUGUUCCAGGAAACGGGUGGAACAGCAGUUCCAGCCUUAUACCAGCUAGUUCCAGAUUUCCGAAAACUACUGUUCCCGGGAGCCAAACAUAGCGUUUGGGAACAAAGGGGGGAACAAGGGCUUAUUCCCCCCCUUGUUUCCCAACCAAACGCUACCUUAGAGUUUUGAAGGAUAUUUUUUUAAUAAAAGAAUAAAUUUAAAAAUUUUGAAUAGUAAUGAAUGGUACACAAGGG